UACGUAGGGGUGCAAGCGUUGUCCGGAAUUAUUGGGCGUAAAGAGCUUGUAGCGGUUUGUCGCGUCUGCUGUGAAAUUUCGGGGCUCAACCCCGAACUUGCAGUGGGUACGGGCAGACUAGAGUGUGGUAGGGGAGACUGGAAUUCCUGGUGUAGGCGGUGAAAUGCGCAGAUAUCAGGAGGAACACCGAUGGCGAAGGCAGGUCUCUGGGCCACUACUGACGCUGAGAAGCGAAAGGCAUGGGGAGCGAACAGG
rnacentral:rRNA from 1 species